CUCCUGGGCUGGCCCUGUGGUCCCCUCAGUCCUGACAGCUGGGCUCCGUCCCGGCCUCCUUGACUGGGGGCCGCUGGCAGGUCCAGGCUGCUGGGCUGGGAGGUCAGCCAGGGCUGGGGCCACCCCCGCGCCUCGGAACCUGAGCCACACACAGGGCUGGCCCGCCUGGACGGCCGGCUACUGGGGCUGCCAGGACUUCUAAGAAGCCCCACGCUGGCUGGUUGGGGACAGGAGGUGACUCGGCCAGCUGGGCAGACAUCAGGGAGGCCCGGGCUUCUGGUAAACAGGCCUGGGACAGUGAAAUGAUGUAAACAGCAGGUCUGAGUCCGGGACAGUCCCCGGGCUCGGCUCCCUAAUGGCACAGACACGGACGCCGAGGCUCAGAGAGCUUAGAGGACAAGAUGGGGGCUUCAGAGGGGGCCCGUCCGCUGAUCCCCGACCCUCCUCUGACCGUAACGUGAUACUCUGGGUCCCUGCCACACCCUGGGCUGAUGAGUCACCAAAACCUAUUUUACGGAACAAGUAAUAAGUGUUCUGUCCCAUCCUCCUGUGUGCAGUCCGGUGCAAGCCCUCAGACUUCACACCUGGACCCCAGGGCACCGCUUCCCGGCUCCCUGCUCCAGUCUGCAAUCUACAUACCGCUCGCUCACACUCAUCCCCUAAAACCAGACUUGAGCCCUGCUCCUUCCCUGCUCAGGAACUAUCACUGGCUCCCUACUUCCCCAAGACCACGUCCAACCCCGUCUUCACUGCAGGGCCUCGGCAGCAGGCUCCUGGCAGUCUUUCUCCCCUUCCGCCCCCUCCACUCGGGCCUCCCUUCUGCUUCUUCCCCCCAAGACGUCCCCCCAACACCACCACCACCACCCACCUGUCUCUGCUUUUCCACAGGGCGCUGCUCCUCCUCCGGAAAUCCCUCUCCUCCUCUGACCAGGCCCUACUGUGCCCUGCGGCUAUCAGCAUCCUGCCCUCGCUGUGCCCGGAGGCUUUUAUUUCUUGCACCGCAUCAAACACCGGUGUUCUUGUACUGCAUCAAACACCUUUCUCACGUGCGUGGAUCUGUGCUGUGCAUGUGUGUUCAGAGCUGGAACAUUCUCUCCGUAUCCAACACAGCAGGCAGCACGGUCCCCACAGAACGUGGGUGCUGCAAACAUACACUGAUUGACUCGACACCCAAAAGACACCAACAACAUGCAUGGGCUUCUUUUUCCUGCCCUUGGAAAGCAGGAACCGAGUUCCCGUCGUGGCUCAGCAGUAACAAAG
rnacentral:lncRNA from 1 species